rnacentral:tRNA from 1 species
CGGAGCGUAGCGCAGUAUGGGAGCGCGUCUGCCUUGGGCGCAGAAGGUCGUGGGUUCAAAUCCCGCCGCUCCGACCA